rnacentral:misc_RNA from 1 species
AGUAAUGGAAGAUAAGGAAGUAGGNAACUCUGACCUUAUCGGGAAAAAUCCCAAAAGAACUUACACGGAUUUGUCUUUAUUUAGUUUUGAGUGAGCUUUAAAGCGAACUCAACUUGAUCAUUGAAAACUGAAUAACACCAAACAAGAUUGAUCAUUGACUCGGAUGCGAGCAAUGACAAUCCAUUAUUUCUAAAAAGAUAUAAUGAACCGAGAAAUUGACCGAGUCUAUAACGAAAGUUAUAGAAUAAAAAAUAAGCGAAAAUAUUGUGG